GACGAACGCUGGCGGCGUGCCUAAUACAUGCAAGUCGAGCGAGACUCUUUGGAGUCUAGCGGCGGACGGGUGAGUAACACGUGGGCAACCUGCCUGUAAGACUGGGAUAACACCGGGAAACCGGUGCUAAUACCGGAUAAUCCUUUUCCUCUCAUGAGGAAAAGCUGAAAGUCGGUUUCGGCUGACACUUACAGAUGGGCCCGCGGCGCAUUAGCUAGUUGGUGAGGUAACGGCUCACCAAGGCGACGAUGCGUAGCCGACCUGAGAGGGUGAUCGGCCACACUGGGACUGAGACACGGCCCAGACUCCUACGGGAGGCAGCAGUAGGGAAUCUUCCACAAUGGACGAAAGUCUGAUGGAGCAACGCCGCGUGAGCGAUGAAGGCCUUCGGGUCGUAAAGCUCUGUUGUUAGGGAAGAACAAGUACCGGAGUAACUGCCGGUACCUUGACGGUACCUAACCAGAAAGCCACGGCUAACUACGUGCCAGCAGCCGCGGUAAAAC
rnacentral:rRNA from 1 species